UCUUGGUCAUUUAGAGGAAGUAAAAGUCGUAACAAGGUUUCCGUAGGUGAACCUGCGGAAGGAUCAUUAUCGAAAUUAUUGGUGAGGGUUGUAGCUGGCCUUUCGAGGCAUGUGCACGCUCGAGCCCUUAAUCCACUUUACACCUGUGCACUUAAUGUAGGUCGCCCUUAAAAAAGGUGACCUAUGUCUUAUCAUCAACCCAUCGUAUGUCUCAUAGAAUGUAAUCGAUAUCCUCGCCCUAAAAAAGCGUUGAUAAACUUAUACAACUUUCAACAACGGAUCUCUUGGCUCUCGCAUCGAUGAAGAACGCAGCGAAAUGCGAUAAGUAAUGUGAAUUGCAGAUUUUCAGUGAAUCAUCGAAUCUUUGAACGCACCUUGCGCUCCUUGGUAUUCCGAGGAGCAUGCCUGUUUGAGUGUCAUUAAAUUCUCAACUCCAAGGGUUUCACGACCUUUCGGAGAUUGGACUUGGAGGUGCUGGCCGCAUAUUGGUCGGCUCCUCUCAAAUGCAUCAGCGGAAUUCAACCUUUGGCUUCCGGAUGUCAGUGUGAUAAUCAUGUUGCGCUGUCGUUUGAUCCCUCAGAGUCCGCUUAUAAUGGUCUUCGGACAAAAUCAUCAUCAAAUUUGACCUCAAAUCAGGUAGGACUACCCGCUGAACUUAAGCAUAUCAAUAAGCGGAGGA
rnacentral:rRNA from 1 species